UGGGUUUGUUUGCAGUUAUACUGCCCAUGUAAAUUUUGUUUUAAUUUGCACAUACUGGACACAGUAUAAUAGAAAAUGUUGUGUCAGAAUGGCAGCUGUUCCCUUCGAAUCUCAUCAUUCUCAGGAAUGAUGGACAUCUCCUGUGAAGGGUUGAUUAGUUGAGAAAAGAGGCACAUAAUUCACAGUUUCAGCAAGUUUGAGCCAAUCUGCAAUGCUUAUACUGAAAAGGAGACAUUUCACAAAAUACCAUUUUUGGAGAAUUAAUCAUUUUCCUUGGUUUUAUUGUUUUUAGCAUUUUUAAACCUUUAUUCAGUAUCAUACAUACUUUGUGUCAAAUACUACUGGCAAUUUAAGGAGUCAUGUAAUCAUUUUGUUUCUUUCUUUCUUUUAAUUACAUGAAUUUCUUUCUUUUAAUUAAAUGAAUUCCUGUCAAAGAGUCUCCCUUCAAAGAUAACAAGGGCACAUAUUUAAUUUUGGCUCUGAUGCAAGUGAUUCUACAUGGAUUGUAUCUAUUUUCCCUGUAUAAUCUUUAUAUUUAGAGCCACACGUGGACUGUACCUUUACUUUUGCAUUUUUAACAUUUGUCACCCAGCUUGAGUGAAGCAACAUGCUCCAGAGACCCACCACUGACCUUGGGUUUUGAGUCAUAGAUUUCUGUGUUAAGUACAUGACUCACCGCCUAAACAAAGGCAAAUCAAUGGUGACACUUAAGUAACCUAACUAGAAACAUUAAUGUGAGUCUGCUAAACCACCCCUUUAGAACCCUAAAUAUUUACUCUACAGUAACUUUUUGAGAGUGUGUGCUUUCACCUUAAUUUCUAUCACUACCAAUGUGGAGGUGAAAUAUUCAAAAGAUUGAAUUUGCCUACCUUCACUCCCCUCAAACCCUUUUAACUUUUCUUGAAUUAAAAUAAAGGAAGAAAGAAAAGAAAUGCUUUAAGGUCCAUCACAUUUUUG
rnacentral:lncRNA from 1 species